UUGAACCACCCCAGGCCCUUUGCACCUGCUAUUCCCUCUCCUCAGCAUGCUCUGCCCCAGACAAUUGCAAUGCUAACUUCUUACUUCCUUCAGGUUUCACUCAGAAAUGACUUUCUCAGUGGGGUCUCCCAUGACCAUUUUAUUUAAGAUUUCAACUACUUUGCCAGUAUUUCACUUCUCCUCCCUUGAUCUUUUCUUCCAAGCACUCACUGCCCUCUUGCACACUGUAUCUUUUACUUAUUUAUCUUGUUCAGUUUCUGCCUGCCUCACCUGCCUCACCACAGUGUACAUUUCACGAGGGCAGGGAUUUUGUCUGUUUUGUUGAUUGCUGUAGCCCUGGCAUCUUGGGCAGUGCCAGCACCUGUUAGCAUUAAAUACAUAUUUACUGAAUGAAUGAGUGGCUUCAUGCUUAAAAGCAAGAAGAGAGACCUUCAUAGAGAAGUAGGAAAAUGAAUUGUUGCACAAAUAAAGGGCCAUGUAAUGAGAGAGAGAGAGCAAGAGAAAGAGCAAACAAUUAAGGAGCAGCAGUGGCUUCCUGCAGGGGAGACCAAUGCCUUCUGUCCUCAGCGGAAACAGCUUGGCAUUCUUCCAAUUGAUGAAUGGCAUGGACCAGGAGCACUAGUUAUCUUCAGCUUCUGAGCAUCCGAAUAAAUAAACAUACAAAUGCAUAACAUAAAAUAAAUUCAAAUUACAAAUGAGAAAACCAAUCUAGGUUACCGGCAAGUCCUAUGACUUGAUGUGGAGGCCUGGAAGUGCAUCCUUGAAUCUUGCAAUGCAGUGAGCCAAGGAGCAAUGAGAGGCCACAUGAAUAACCGGGCCAGUGACAAGACACAUGUCCUCCUCCUUGCUGGUAUACACCAGAAUGCCCCGCAUGCAGCGAAUGCUCAAAAAGUGUUGGUGGAAGUGACAGAAUUCCAUCACCAUUAAACACAACCAGUGUUGCGGUUGACAAUGGCACUGAAGCAGGUGAAAAAUCCGUACAGCAGCUUCUGUCUUUGAAGAGUUUGCAGCCUCUUGAAGAGGGUUUAGAGGUUAAAAAAAGGACCCAGGCUGAUAGGGCCGCUACCAUUUGGAAAGUGACAAGAGGAAGAGAGAGAAUGAAACAACAGUAAGCACUGGCUCUCAGCUUCUACCUGAAGAGACAAACAUUGCUUUCACUUACAUUUCACUGGCCAAAUCAAGCCCAUGGCAACAAUUGAGUUCAAAAGCAUAAGGAGGUAUCUGGAAGGAAGAGAAUCAGAAAAUUUCUGAUGAGCCUCACUGACUACCUUCAGGGCAAAAAGGAAGAGAGGCACUCCAGAUCAGAGAUCUGCAUUGGAAACUCCUUGAGAACCAGAAGGGUAUGCUGUAUUUUUGUAACUGUGAGGAGCCCAGAAAGACUGAAGCCCAAAUAAAAUUCCUUUAUUCAAUAUCUGUUUCCCAUCUUACACUUUUUCAGAAUAGAUAUUCCCAUGGUAGAAUCAUGGGCUGACACUAUCACAUUAUAAAAUUUUCUCUGGUUCUGUCUCUUCCCCUCAGGAACACACAUGGAUGAUUCUUAUUACUUUAUGCCCACAUUAAAUAAUUGUAUACACCAUGAACUGGAGGCCUUGUGUUUUGAGUGAAAAGCUUUGGAUUUGAGUUUGUGUUUCCAAACACACUUCUGAGGUAGAAAUUGUCAAGAGCUUUCCCAAACUCUUUUUUUAAUCCUCCUGAGCUCACCAUCUCUGGGACUGUCUUGCAAUUGGACAGCCAUGCAAUUGAGCUUCAGCCAAUGAAACAUGAGUGGAGGGCGUGACACACAACCUGCCAUGUUCAAGCCUCCAUACUCUUUCCCUCCUCCAGCUUUGUGCUGAUGAACAUGGUCACCUUGAAAGGUGUGUUGAAUAUGGCAGAGCCAGAAAAUGCAAGGAGCUUCUUCUCUGGAUCACCACUUGAAGAAGAGCCACUUGCUCCUCAGGAACCCUAUUUUGGACUGAGGUUUAAUACAACAUGGAAGCCACCAAGGCUUACAGAAUGUGCUUUCCAGAGCUGUGACCUGAACUGUACCUGGGGCCUUUUGAGUGAGGCUGGAACUGGAGUGGCCUGGAUGCAGAGAGCAGUGUCCUAAGGCUGUGCAUGACUGCGUUGUUUAAGUAGCCGAUUGCUCUCUUGUAUGACUGUCAAAUAUUUCAGGUUGCAAGAAAGCUCAAGUAGCCUAUGGAGAGGAUGCAAGGCUUCCAGCUGAUGCCCUCAGCCAGGCUCAGUAGCAGCCAGAACUAGCCUACCAACGAACCUGCUGAUCAUGUGCAUAAGCCACCUUGAACGUCGAUCCUCCUGCCUGGUGGAGCCAUCCCAGCUGAUGCCACAUGAAGCAGACACAAGCUGUCCCUACUAAGCUCUGCUCAAGUUGGAUAUUCAUGAGUGAAAUAAAUGACU
rnacentral:lncRNA from 1 species